rnacentral:misc_RNA from 1 species
GAUGAAGAACGUAGCGAAAUGCGAUAAGUAAUGCGAAUUGCAGAUUUCAGUGAAUCAUCGAAUCUUUGAACGCACAUUGCGCCCGCUAGUAUUCUGGCGGGCAUGCCUGUUCGAGCGUCAUUUCAACCAUCAAGCCCUAGGCUUGCGUUGGAGCCCUGCGGCUGCCGCAGGCUCCCAAAUCCAGUGGCGGGCUCGUCGUCGUACCGAGUGCAGUAAACAUCCUCGCUCAGGGAACGUGACGGGUUCUUGCCGUGAAACCCCCCACAUAUCAAGGUUGACCUCGGAUCAGGUAGGAAUACCCGCUGAACAUAAGCAUAUCAAUAAGCGGAGGA